UACGUAGGGUGCGAGCGUUGUCCGGAUUUAUUGGGCGUAAAGGGCUCGUAGGCGGCCUGUCGCGUCGGGAGUGAAAGCCCACUGCUUAACGGUGGGUCUGCUUCCGGUACGGGCGGGCUGGAGUGUGGCAGGGGAGACUGGAAUUUACGGUGUAGCAGUGAAAUGCGUAGAUAUCGUAAGGAAGACCAGUGGCGAAGGCGAAUCUCUGGACAGUUACUGACGCUGAGGCACGAAGGCCAGGGGAGCAAACGGG
rnacentral:rRNA from 1 species